UACAGAGGGGGCUAGCGUUGCUCGGAAUUACUGGGCGUAAAGGGAGCGUAGGCGGACAGUUUAGUCAGAGGUGAAAGCCCAGGGCUCAACCUUGGAAUUGCCUUUGAUACUGACUGUCUUGAGUACGGGAGAGGUGUGUGGAACUCCGAGUGUAGAGGUGAAAUUCGUAGAUAUUCGGAAGAACACCAGUGGCGAAGGCGACACACUGGCCCGUUACUGACGCUGAGGCUCGAAAGCGUGGGGAGCAAACAGG
rnacentral:rRNA from 1 species